AAUAAUAUUUUAAAAUUUUUAUAAAUAUUGAUUCAAAUACAUCCACCAUAUAACCCAAUUCCAAAAUAAAACCCGUUCUGAACUUUCUUUACCCGUCCUGUGAUUUUUUUUUAAAGUAGUAAUUUUUAAAAUGUAAGAAUUAUUUAUUAUAUAUAAAAUUUUUGCAAAUUGUAUCAUUCUCUAAUACAUUUAUAUUUUAUAGUUUAAUUUUAUAUAUAGUAACAUUAUAUAUAUUACAUAACAUUUUUGGUUUUAUAUAACCUUUUCUAAAUUAGGAUGAUUUGAUAUGUUUAAUAUUAGUGGUCUUAAAAAUAAUAAUUUAAAGAUUUAACCCGUAUUGAAACGGUAGAUUAAUUAUAUUUUACUUUUUUAUUAAUGUUGAUUCAAAAAACCCGUCCCUCCAAAUCCGUCUUGCUAAAAAGUCAUUUAUUUUAUUAAUAUUAAUUUUAUUUAUGAUAUGACUCUGAAUUAUAAUCUAAAAUUUUUAGCUAAUAACAUAGGAGUGCACCAUAUUUAUUUAAUAGGGGAAUGUACCAUAUGAACCGAAUGCACUUUUAUCCAAAUCCACCAAAAAAGUCUUGCAAAAAUACUAUAGAGAUAAGAAACUAUAGUCGGUUUUGAUAGGUAUAAGAUUAGCAAAUAUAUUAGUUAGCUUAAAUUAGUUAAAGAAUACAAAUUGAAAAGGUAUAUUACACUUUAUUCGAAUAUAGUAUAAAAACUUAUAUAACACAGAGAUUUGAUAAAUUUUUAAUUAUUGAAUACUUUAUUUUUGUGCUAAUUUUUAUGUGAUUAAGAUUUAAUUGAUUUUGUAUAUAAAAUAUUAAAUUGACUUAUUUAU
rnacentral:sRNA from 1 species